rnacentral:misc_RNA from 1 species
CUCUGGAAACUGCAAAGAAAAACUUCAUCAGAUUGGUUAAGAACCCCCGAACUGAUAUAACAACCAACACUCCAAUGAAUAACAACGAAAUGUACUGUGAUAGUAAUGCAGCAUUGAUUCCUAUAUCAAAGAACUGCAAGAAUAUGCUGAUAGUCAUAGUCACAGGAUCUACUGAGCCAGCCUCCUUGAAAAUAACGCUUUGCAAAGACUUGAUCAUUUUAUACACACAAUAGACAGAACAUGCAUAGCCAAGUAGAUUCUGCA